rnacentral:hammerhead_ribozyme from 1 species
AUUCACACGAGUUCGAAAUAGGACGAAACGCGCGUCCGGGAU